GUAGGUAGCGCGGACAAAACACUCGCGCUUGUGCGUGUCCAUACAUUCUGUCGGUGUGAGUGACACAGUAAGUGUGAAACUUCCAGUGAGAACUACCUUGACAAAGUGAGACAACCUUUCAACGAUUUUUGUAUAAACAUUUGAGACUACUUUUUACGACCUAUUGCUGUCAAUCGAAGGAUACAACGAUCGCAAAAUGCCAUUAUUCAAAGUAGAAUCACCUAAUCACAAAAGAAUCAUGAUAAAAGCAAAUAGUAUAUCCGAAAUAAUUGAAAUUGCAAUAAAAAAAUUAAAACUUCCUGAAGACAAUACUUACAAGUUACUUUUACAAAACGAUGGAACAGAGAUAGAUGAUAAUGAUGUGCUACUGGAAUAUGCAGAACAAUCUAAAGAUAUGAUUGUUUUAACGAUUUUAGGUAUAAACAUGUCUUCGGACUAUGAUAAAAAAAAUGAAGAUAACCAAAUUGUUUUAAAUGAAUCUAGUUCGACAAUGCAGAGAAAUGACAUUUCAGAUUCUAGUUCUAUCAGUACAUGUUCUGAAGCAUUAAGUUCAUCAAAUAGAUCAAGUACAAAAGUAAAAUCAAUAAAUCUAGAAGACGGAGUAUGGAGUAAAUUAUCGGAAAGAAUAGUUGCUGCUUGCGUAAGAGGAGAUAAACUGUGUUUUUCAGACAGAAAAGCAGUUAUUCAUCGUAGAAUAUAUGAUUGAUACUCUCGAAAACACGACAAGAAGUAAAGCACAUGAAAUUGCGACAAUUCUCUGCAAUACUUAUCCGAAAACUUUUGCUGAUACAAUUGGUAACGAUGAAAUGUGGGGAAGUGGCUUAGAAACCGUACGGCUUGAAAUUUAUAACGCCUGUCUUUAUAAGAUUAAUUCAAAAAAACGUAAAUCGUUUUCGAAAGCUACGAAUUAUGACAGUGACGAUGCGGAGCAAGAAGAACGUCAGCAGCAAGCUACAUCACGACGUCAAGACGAGUAUGGCUGCGUUGAGUAUGCACCUAUUCUAUUAUAUGAAAAUGCUGAAAGUGAAAAUAAACGACGUACUUUAUUAGAACUUUUCGCCCUUCACGAAAUAAAUCCACAAGUUUUAAAAUUAAUGGAAGAAACGUAUCCAACUCUUCGUGCCGUAUUAAAUGAUAAAAACAGAAAUUUAGAGAUAAUAGCUGCUGAGUGGCCUUUCUUACAAGAAACCGAUUGUUUCUUCCAACACUGUUCUCGAUUAUUAGGAAAAAAUGUUGUUCAAGUCUGGACAAAUUCACUUAGUAACAAGACGAAAUCCAUACGGCAAUAUUUCAAACAUUCACAGAAAAAAAAGCAAAUGAAAUAAAUGAGAUUAUAAACGACUGCAAAACAGCUGUUCAAAUAAGGAAGGAUAAAAUACCAAAACUAUUAGUGAUUUUCCGAUUAUUAAUCUUUUAUUUCAAUGAAAAGGAAAAUUUUCUUUUUAAAAUAAUUGGAAAUGACGUUGAUGAUGCUGAUGUAAUAAAUGCUGCUGACACUGAGUAUCCUGUGCUUAUCAUCAGAGGAAAAUCAUUAUACGACGAGAAUGCAAAAUGUACUGUCAUUAUUAAUAAAAAAGUUUCAAUUACUUCCACGAAUUCUCUGGAAGGAAUCUUGAUAACUUUUCUCGCAUACUACGUUUAUGGAUUUUGCUAUUCACCUAAAAUUGAAAAAUCUCUAGAAUUUAUACAAAGAAUUUUUUUACAAAUAAAUCCACAAAGAGGAGCAAAAAGUGCAUCAAAAGCUCGUCGAUAUAAUAAAUCAUUUGAUGUGCGAGUAUUUAAACUUGCCAAAGAACUUUCGGCUUUUUCUGACCAAUUCAAUUUAACCCAGUGAUACUUAUGGCAAAACGGUCCAUCGAUAUCAGUAAAAUUAAUGGCAUGUUAUUCGCGUUCUGAUACCAGCAGAAAAAUACAUAAAUUCGCCAAUGCUACCAAACAAUAUACCAGGAAGAUACUUGUGAGUUUUGUGAAAUAGGUCUAUGUUAUUUCACGCAAGAUAUAUUGCGGUCGACAAUUAUAAAUAGAGGAACCCGUCACAUCAUGCGAGAAUCUGCCUACACAUCUCGUCCCCGGGAAAGCCGUGGGACAGCAUGUGGUCUACAUCCGAGUAAUAAUAACUAUUAUGUUCCUACCGGUGUAAAUAUAUCUAUGUAAUCGCAAUCUCUUUGCUCUAUUGUUUCCUCUCGCUGCGUCAUUAUCGACGACAUCGGGAUGAUUAACGAUGUCGUCGACGAAGCGAUCGCUUGACCGCUUAAGCCAACCACUUUCCUGUUCGGUCUGCAUCGCACGAGAGGUCAAUGACUUUGGUCUCAUUGGAGGUUUAAAACUUUUACGGAUGUGACGUUGAUGGUGAUAAUAAUUUUAAUCUGAAAUGUAAUUGCACAGAGAUAAUUGAUAGCGAAUAUCAAAAGAGUGAUAAAUUUAAUUACAAAUAGGAGAUUAUGUUAAUGUAAUUACUUAAAAAUUCAGUCACUUAAGAAAGUAAAUAAAAAGCUAACUCAAGUUUGAAAUUUCAUUACUUUAUACUUACAUGGAAAAAAGUGUAAUGAAUUAAAACGUAGUUUGAUCUAAUUAAACAUCGAAUCACUGGCUCUCACAAAUAUAUAUAUAUAUAUAUAUAUAUAUAUAUAUAUAAACGAAUGCCUUCAACGAUGGUAGCUAGAUCUUAAUGCUUAUAUUUGUUUGUGUGAUUUCAUAUAGUUUCCUCAAAUUCAAUAGACUCCGUCGCCAAAUUGUUUUUACGAUCAUAAUACAGCUCUAAAUUAAACAAGAGUUAGUAAUGUAAAGAAUUUAAGUUUAUUUGAAUAUAUGAAAUACUUUUUGUUAAAAAUUUAAGUUUUUGUUUAAAUAAAUAAUAUUUAAUAUAAAAGUGUAUUUAUUCUAUUAUUCGGAAAUUUUCUUAUUCAAACAAUUUUGUCUCUCUAUUAUUUCAGAUAUGAGAGGCUUCACUGUACUUUGAAAGAAAAGACGCAGAAACAUUUUGCUAUGUCCAUGCUGUGUACCGCUUGGAAAUUGAUUAUAAAAAUAAUUGAGAAUGUGAAGCACUAAA